CCAGCAUGAAGGCAGAGGACAGGGCCUGCGUGGUGGAACACUGGAUCAAGGUGGCCAAGGAAUGCCUGGCUCUCCAGAAUUACUGCUGGUUCACAACAUCCUCUGCACUCUCAGAGUCACCCAGUACGCAAGCUGAAAACAACGUGGGGAGAAGUCUCCAGAAAAAGUGCCAGGAAAUUUCAACGUCUUUGCACACAGGAC